UACGUAAGGACCGAGCGUUGUCCGGAAUCAUUGGGCGUAAAGGGUACGUAGGCGGAUAAGCAAGUUAGAAGUGAAAUCCUAUAGCUCAACUAUAGUAAGCUUUUAAAACUGCUCAUCUUGAGGUAUGGAAGGGAAAGGGGAAUCCCUAGUGUAGCGGUGAAAUGCGUUGAUAUGAGGAGGAAUACCGGUGGCGAAGGCGACUUUCUGGACAUAAACUGACGCUGAGGUACGAAAGCGUAGGUAGCAAACAGG
rnacentral:rRNA from 1 species